rnacentral:rRNA from 1 species
AUUGAACGCUGGCGGCAGGCUUAACACAUGCAAGUCGAGCGAGCGGCGGACGGGUGAGUAAUGUCUGGGAAACUGCCUGAUGGAGGGGGAUAACUACUGGAAACGGUAGCUAAUACCGCAUACCAUCAGAUGUGCCCAGAUGGGAUUAGCUAGUAGGUGGGGUAAUGGCUCACCUAGGCGACGAUCCCUAGCUGGUCUGAGAGGAUGACCAGCGGCAUGGGAACGGGGACACGGUCCAGACGACUACGGGAGGCAGCAGUGGGGAAUAUUGCACAAGGGGCGGAAGCCUGAUGCAGCGAUGCCGCGGGUGUGAAGAAGGCCUUCGGGUUGUAAAGCACUUUCAGCGAGGAGGCGUUACCGACAGAAGAAGCACCGGCUAACGCCGUGCCAGCAGCCGCGGUAAUUC